rnacentral:rRNA from 1 species
CCUACGGGUGGCUGCAGUGGGGAAUUUUGGACAAUGGGCGCAAGCCUGAUCCAGCCAUUCCGCGUGAGUGAAGAAGGCCUUCGGGUUGUAAAGCUCUUUCGCAAGGGAAGAAAACUUAUCCUCUAACAUAGGAUGAGGUUGACGGUACCUUGAUAAGAAGCACCGGCUAACUACGUGCCAGCAGCCGCGGUAAUACGUAGGGUGCUAGUGUUAAUCGGGAUUACUGAGCGUAAAUCGUAAGUCAGAUGUUAAAUCCGCGAGCUCAAGUUGGGAACUGCGUUUGAAACUACAAGACUAGAAUAGGUCAGAGGGAGGUAGAAUUCCACGUGUAGCAGUGAAAUGCGUAGAGAUGUGGAGGAAUAUCAAUGGCGAAGGCAGCCCCCUGGGAUCAUAUUGACGCUCAUGCACGAAAGCGUGGGGAGCAAACAGGAUUAGAUACCCGUGUAGUC